GGCCUUAGCUCAGUUGGUAGAGCGCUGCCUUUGCAAGGCAGAUGUCAGGAGUUCGAAUCUCCUAGGCUCC
rnacentral:tRNA from 4 species